GGUGUAGGCAGACCCCAGGUUUCCCUUCAAGCAUUGUGUCGGACACACUGUAGAACGAUCGACCUUCCUAAAAGCUUAUGCUACCCGACUACUUACUCACUUGAAGAAUACUUCACAUAAAUUGGAAACGCUUUAAAAUGCUGGAAAUGUAUUUCUCACGAUUGCGAUUCUGAUCUCGAGGACAAUUACAAGGCAACCAAGGUCAAAUGUCAGGAAGGUCAAAGAUGUAUGAAAGUUCGAUACAGAAUGUUUGAC